CCUACGGGAGGCAGCAGUGGGGGAUAUUGCACAAUGGGGGAAACCCUGAUGCAGCGACGCCGCGUGAGUGAAGAAGCGUUUCGGUGUGUAAAGCUCUAUCAGCAGGGAAGAAAAUGAAGGUAACUGAAUAAGAAGCCCCGGCUAACUACCGGCCAGGCGCCGCGGUAAUACGUAGGGGGCAAGCGUUAUCCGGAUUUACUGGGUGUAAAGGGAGCGUAGACGGCAGCACAAGUCAGGAGUGAAAGGCCGGGGCUUAACCCCGGGACGGCUUUGGAAACUGUGCAGCUAGAGUGCAGGAGGGGUAAGUGGAAUUCCUGGUGUAGCGGUGAAAUGCGUAGAUAUCAGGAGGAACACCAGUGGCGAAGGCGGCUUACUGGACUGCAACUGACGUUGAGGCCCGAAAGCGUGGGGAGCAAACAGGAUUAGAUACCCCGGUAGUC
rnacentral:rRNA from 1 species